GCCUUCGUGGUGUAACGGUAGCACACUCGGUCCGUAUUCGAGAGGUCCAGGUUCGAGUCCUGUCUAAGGCA
rnacentral:tRNA from 1 species